UUCACUAUACAGGGUUAGGUGCAGAGUGCAAAAGGUGACAGGUAGAUGAGUUAUAAAGUCUUAUCGCAGGUAGGAACGAUUUCCUGUAUCGUUCCUUAGAGCAGCGGGGUUGAAUGAGUCUGUUGCUGAAGCUGCUCUUCAGUUUGUCCAGUGUUUUGUGGAUGGGGUGAGAGGGAUUGUCCAUUAUUGCCAGCAGUUUUGCCAGCAUCCUGUCCUCCACCACCUCCUCCAGGGUGAUAAGCUUAGAGCCAACAACAGACUCUGCUUUCCUGACCAGUUUGUUCAGUCUGUUGGCGUCCUUUGCCUUGAUGCCCGCACCCCAGGACACCGCAGCAAAGAAGAUGGUGCUCGCCACAACAGACUGAUAAAACAUCUGCUUGCACACAUUAAAGGACCUGAGCCUUCUCACGAAGUAAAGCUGACUCAGGCCCUUCUUGUAGAUAGCCUCUGUGUUGGUGGACCAGUCCAGUUUAUUGUCCAGUGUGACACCCAGGUACUUGUAUGCAGGGACCAUCAGAGAAUUUCUGCAGAUGACACGACCAGGGGCGGUUCUAGACUUUUUUUAGUGGGGUGGCCAGGGGGAGGCCGGCAGGCGUUAGGGGUGGCCGAUCGAAAUGUCCGACGGGGGGGGGGUGCGAUGCGAUCGUAAUGUUCGUAUUAUUGAUGCCGACUCCUCUUUCGGGGGGGCCCGCAGGGGGGGCCGGACUCAGACUCCCCCCGGGCCCCCCCUCUGGCACCGCCCCUGGACACGACUCAGUGCAGUACUGAAAGUCAGCAAUGUAUGUGGUGAAGAGGAAGGGGGACAGUACAGUUCCCUGGGGGGCCCUGAUGUUACUGAUCAGACGGUCAGACACACAGUUCUGUAAUCUCACCAAUUGUGGUCUGCCUGUCAGAUAGUCAUCAACCCAAGUCACGAGGGGAGCACCCACCUGCGUGUCCUCCAGUUUGGCCUUCAGCAGUCUGAGCUGGAUGGUGUUGAAGGCGCUGCAGAAGUCAAAGAACAUGAUGUGGACUGAGGUGUUGGGUCGGUCCAGGGAGGAGUAAGCCUUCUGCAGUAGGUAGAUGAUUGCAUCAUCAACCCCAACAUGGGGCUGAUAUGCAAACUGCAGGGGGUCGUGUGAUGGGCACACCAGUGGUCUGAGGUGUGCCAGGACCAGUCUCUCCAUAAUAUGAGAGGUCAGUGCCACCGGCCUGCAGUCCCCCAGUGCAGCAGGACGUCCUUUAUUGGGCACAGGGACCAGGCAGGAUGUCUUCCACAGCACCAGUAUCCUGACCUGACUCAGGCUAACAUGGGGCUGAUACCAUCAGGGCCAGCAGCUUUCUGGGUAGUUUUAUUGUAUUUGUAGGCUGUUAUAUUUAAAUAAAUGAAUAAAUAAAUACUAAUGUAACACAAUGAAUGUAAAUAAUUUUAAAUCUACAUUGGAAUUUACUACUUACUUUACUUGUUAACCUAAGCAUAACUUUUUAUUGUGCAGUGUUUUUUAAGCAUCAUCCGAAUUCAAGUUUGGUUUUACCCACCAACAAGCAGAACUAUUUGAUAUGAACGCGCCGCUGCUCCGCCCCCGAUACACGCAUUGCUGGCUACCAUAAACGUCAGUCAGUCACUGAGCCUCACGGAGAACACAUGCUGUCUGCAGUAAGCUUGACCCGCGAGUUUUCGUCUUCCGACACUCUUUAAUACUUCUCAAAGAGGCGAAGAAGGUAAGAAAUAACUUAACUAUAGUCGUGCAUAUAAUAAUAUAAAUGAGUAUUUACUUGGCUUCAUAAGGCUAGCUAGCUAGCUAAGUAAACUAGCUUAGGUAUCAGCGCAUUUUGGCCACGUGCGUCAAGUGUGAGCAGUAGUAGGCCUAUAAAGUAAAUGUAUUCCUUUAUGAUAAACGAUUUUUUUCCCACGUAAUAAUUAGGCAUUUCUUGUUGUGCCAAGUUGCUUACGGAGGACACCAUUACAUUUUUACUUAUAUGAAAUGAUUGUGUUGUUUUUUUACAUAAAAUGAAUCGGUAUGAAUUAAUGACACAUUUAAGUAAUUAUUUAAUGGUUUAUUUAUUUAUUUUAUUUUGGCAGCUUUAGUCCUCCUCCACUAACUUAAAACGUCUUGUGCUGUAUUUUUUCCCGCUGGCUGCAGGUGCCGCUUCUACAGCGAGCCACGCUUCAGAAGCACUUCGGCAGUCUUGUUUUUUUCCACUGUUUUCAGUCUUUGAUACUUCCCAAAGAGGCGAAGAAGGUGCCGCUUCUACAGCGAGCCACCCUCCAGAAACCUUGAAGGACAAAGAGUUUGUCGACCACGACUUUCAGUAUGUCACAUCUCGCAACCUUAAGUUGAGGCUGUUAAUGUGUGUGCGCAGUGGAGCCUUAGAGAUCUUUUCUUACAGAAUUCAGUGCAGUUAGUACUCAAGAGACUGUGGUCAUUCCUUCCAGAGUUCAGAACUUCGUGUGCAGAGUUCUUAAGUUGUCUUCUAGUUUAUAAUGUUCUAUUGUGCUGGGUAGAGUAUUCUGGAGAUUUUCCUACAGUGGGCUAUAAUGGCAUAUGUUAUGCCAAAGUUCAAAUGCCUUUCAUGUGGUAUCUCCCUGAAAAGUAUUAAAAGCUAUGUUGAUCAUCAGCUUCUGCAUAGACAUGAGGCAAAUAGCUACUAUCCAUAUUGCUUUGCAGACUGCAAACAAAAAUUCACCAAGUACACUGCUUUAAAAGCUCAUGUCUAUCGUUCCCACAACAGUCCUGUUUUACUGUUUGAAGACACACAAAGGUCAUUUGUAUGUGAUGAUGUGCAUUGUAAGAAGACAUGCAUAGAUUUGAGAGAUCUUGUUGCACACCUCAAGGUACAUUUGAAUAAGCAUGAGUUAGUACAUUGCCCAUUUAGCAAUUGUAACAAGACGUUUAAAGUGAAGUCCUCAUUUACAUCCCAUGUUUCAAGAACACAUAAACAUGAAAUUGUAAAUACUCAAGUCAAAUACUCUGAGCCAUCUGUAUCCUCUCAGAUUGAGCCCAAUGAAACUGAAACUGGAAUGGACCAAAGUGAAAAUCAGUCUCAGGUUUUGGAAGAGAUUGAUAUAAGGUCUUUGUACAUGAAGAAUCUGUGCCUGUUUUACAUGCAACUCCAGGCAAAGUAUCUGGUUCCGUCAUCAACUAUUCAAAUGAUUGUUGAAGAGAUCAAUGGCCUUAAUGACAUUUGUCAUCAGUACACAAAAGACAAAAUUAAAGAGACACUUAGAGGAAAUACUAAUAUGUCAGAUGCUGAGAUUGAUUCAGUUUUUCAGAGUCUUCAGGAAGCUGAUUUGCAUGCUUCAUGUAGUUCUCGGCUCUCCACAGAAUAUAUUAGGAGGCAGUAUUUUGAGAAGAACUUUGCCUAUGUGCACCCAGAAAAUGUUUUUCUGGGCACCAAUGAGCAUAGAAGAGACAGUUAUGCACAAUACAUACCCUUGCAUGACACUUUAAGAGCUAUUCUAAAGGAUACUGUUGUGUGGGAAGAGUGUGUUAGGUCUCAAAAUCGGCCUGUUUCUGAUGUCGUCUUAAGUGAUAUUUCUGAUGGCUCUGUCUUCAAAUCCAGUGACAUGUUUCUACAAGCUGGUGACAUCAUCUUAAAACUGAUAUUGUAUCAGGAUGCAUUUGAAGUUGUCAACCCACUUGGGUCAUCCAGGAGAAAACAUAAGCUUGUGGGAGUAUACUUCACACUUGCUGACUUUGAGCCAUUCCAUCUUUCCAGUAUUGACCAUUUGCAGUUAGUACUGUUGUGCAAAGAGAAAGACUUUAAGUCCUUUGGUCAGGACAUAGUGUUUGAGAGAUUGUUGUCAGACCUGAGACAGCUUGAAGAACAUGGACUUGUAACCACUUCUGGUCAUGUGGUUCGAGCAACAAUAAUAUCUAUUGUAGGUUACAAUUUGGGAUCACACUGCAUUGGGGGCUACACACAGAAUUUCAGCACUUCCAAGUACUUCUGCAGGUAUUGUGAGAUAAAAAGAGACCAACUUGAGAGUGUGAGUCAGAGCUUUCCUGUACGAACAGUCGAUAACUACAAAGAAGCAGUGCAUUUAUUGCAGGAGAGUGAUGUGAAUGACGUCAAAGGCAUCUAUUGUGACUCCAUCUUUAACACACUGAAAUAUUUCCAUGUAUGUCAGCCAGGCCUUCCUCCAUGCAUAGGGCAUGACUUGUUUGAGGGAGUUGUAGCUUAUGACUUGGCCAUUUACUUGCGUAACUUCAUAAAGGUCAAGCAUUGGCUCACAUACUCUCAGCUGAACAGGCAAAUCACACAAUUUUCCUACAAGGACUCAGAUUCCAGCUCAUCUCCUUGUCAAGUGAAUGAAAAGGCCAUCACAAUAGGUGGCCAAGCAGCUGAGAACUGGUGUCUGCUUAGACUCCUGCCUGUCAUUAUUGGUGACAAAGUUGAUCCUCAUGACCCAGUGUGGCAACUAGUGAUCACUCUGAAAGAACUUGUGGAACUAGUGUGUGCACCCAAGAUCACCACUGCCCAGGUGGCUUACCUCAACAUUGUUGUGGUUGAAUAUCUGGAAACAAGGAAAGCAAUGUUUCCUUCUGAUCACCUGAAACCCAAGCACCACUAUCUUCUCCAUUAUGCAUCAUUGAUCCUCAAACUGGGUCCCCUAAUACGGCUGUGGACAAUGAGAUUUGAGAGUAAACACUCUUACUUCAAGAGGUGUGUGAGGAGGAUACAAAACUUUAAGAAUAUAUGCCAGUCUCUCGCAAAUCAGCACCAACUCCUCCAAACAACCCUCAGCUCAAACUCCUUUUUUGCACCAGUGCUGAAGUCAAAAAACGUUACUCCAUAUCAUGCUCACCUGUACAGUGAUGCAGUGCGCAAUGCAGUUGAAGCACACAUGUUUACAGAACCGGAUUCUGUGUCAACUGAGGUAGAUUUUAAGGGCACUCGGUACAAAAAGGGAUCUUUUCUGUGCCUCAAACGCGAGUCUGAUGAGUCAAUCAAGUUUGGCCAGAUUGAGCUUGUUUUGAUAAUCAAUGACAAAAAGGUGUGCUUUCUGGUGACACCGCACACUUCAGUGUAUUUAUCAGAGUAUGGACUCUAUGAAGUCAAACAAGCAGCUGAGGAUAUGCACUGCAUUAAUGCAGAACACUGCCUGGAUUCCUACCCAUUGCCUCUUUACAAUCUGAAUGGAAAUACAGUGAUAUCUCUGAAGCACAGUGUUGUUGAUCAGUAGUAGUGUGAUGAGGUGUUGGGAAGAAGUUUUUGACUAGUGUGUCUAUGGGGGGAAAUUACAUAUAUUAAUCAAAGUAACAUGGUAAUUGUGCUGUGAAGUGUAAUCCACAAUCUGUUAUCCACUAAACAAUAAUUUAUGUUUUGUCCCCUCUUGAAGUCAUGGAUGGAUGGGUGGGUGACGUAACUUCAUCCCUCAGCUCAUUCUUUAAAGAAGAAGAUUCUAUAGCACAAGUAGUGGAGGUGCUCAAAAACAUUGGCGUCUGUUCAGCUGAGGACCUAAAAUUUGUGGAGGCAGCUGACCUUGCAGCAGUCCUGAGGCCAAUAGAGGCCAGGAAAGCCAUGGCCUGCAUUAAAAAUUUAGUGACUAGAGUAGAGGAUACAUCCUCCUCAAUAUCUACCAGCCAGAUUGUUGAACCCAACAACGAAGAAUCAUUUGUGAGUGACGACAUGAGUGAUGAUUUUCCCAUGAGUGUUCACUCCACACCGAAAUCCACUGCUACAAGCAGUCCAGCUUUGACCAUAGCCUCACCUACUGGAUCAGAGAGCAGUGUCAGAGAAGAUACUAGCUGGCAUUACAGGUUUGACAUACCCUGGAGUAAGAUGCCCUCCAGCACAAGACAACUUUUAGAUAAUGGUAAGAGGCCUUCUGCAGCACAGAGAAGGGACAUUAUUAGGAUUGUGGCUAGUGAGGUGCUAACUGUGUGCAAAAAACCUGGCAAGAAACACAUUAAUGAAAUUUCAAGAAAGAUGGUACUUUGCUACCCAAAAUCCUUCCGAGAUGAGAUUGAGGGUCAGAUUGUCGGCACUGGGUAUGACUCACUUGUAAAACAGUUAAUAUCUCGGCUAGAUAAUUGCAGACGACUCCAAGCUUCUACUGCCCAGAAAAGGCUUCCUGAAAGUUGCAGCCCUGACAAUGUAAAGAGAGUGUGCAAAGAUGCAUAUGGCUGUAUUAACUCUGAGCCAGUGCUUUCUCCUGGUGAAACAAAACUGCAAAAGCAAAAACAAGAAGAGCUGGUUAAGAUGUUCAAAAACAAAGACAAAGAUGCAAAAAAAAUAGAAAGACUGUUGGUGGAGACUUUUCCCUCACAGAGGAGAGACGUACUGUCAGCACUGAAAGAGACGGAAGACUUUCUUAAGGAAUGGCCUUUCCUCUGCCAGGAAGCUGGAAUGAGGCUUCAUUUCAAAGAACUAACAGGUGUCCAGUUAGAUGCCAGCUUUGAAGAGUCCACAGCCACCAAGUUCAGAAGAAUCCUGCGGUACUUUCAGUUUGGUAAAACUGAGUCAUCCAGCGAAGCAAGAACCAUUCUGAGCAAAGCCCUGGCAGGAGGUGAAGAAACUAGUGCAGCUGUACUGAUGCUUGUUGCCCAUUUCAAAGAGCAGCAAGAUAAGAUGUUUGUAAAUGUUGAUGACACUGCCAUUGGAGUUGACGUGGACACCACCAAGCUACCAUGGACACCCUGCAUUGUGGUCUGCGGUAACAGCCCACUUACUGCCAAGAUGUUCAUGGUUGCAGUGGACCAGGUCAUUGUGAAUGAGCAGCUUCCCUGCUUCACCAAGGCGUUAGAGAUGAUGUUCUGCUCAUAUUAUCUGCACAACAUUGAUUAUCCUGUUGCACUCGCAGCUACUCUGGAGUUCUUACAGAGGUGUAUCUUCAAAAUCAACCCAGAUCAGGGGACCAAAGUCAAGCGAAAAGAAAAGGGACGCCAGUAUGCUGUCAACCCAAGGGUGCUGAGCCUCAUCUCCAAUGUUGCCAAUUUUGAAUUGACAGAGUGAAAGGAUAUGAUGUCUGAACGGGUUUAGAACAAAGGUCUUCCUGGAACCCACCUUUUUAGGGAUGUUUCCAUGAGAGCUGUUUUGUUUAUUGAUGCUCCUUGAUGUCCCCCAGUUUAGCCAAAAAAAUAAACAGUGUUUGUUGCACCACUGUCA